rnacentral:rRNA from 1 species
UACAGAGGUCUCAAGCGUUGUUCGGAUUCAUUGGGCGUAAAGGGUGCGUAGGCGGCGCGGUAAGUCGGGUGUGAAAUCUCGGAGCUUAACUCCGAAACUGCAUUCGAUACUGCCGUGCUUGAGGACUGGAGAGGAGACUGGAAUUUACGGUGUAGCGGUGAAAUGCGUAGAUAUCGUGAGGAAGACCAGUGGCGAAGGCGGGUCUCUGGACAGUUCCUGACACUGAGGCACGAAGGCCAGGGGAGCAAACGGG